GGGGAAUUGUUCGCAAUGGGCGCAAGCCUGACGACGCAACGCCGCGUGGAGGACGAAGAUCUUCGGGUCGUAAACUCCUUUCGAUCGGGACGAACGGCUGGUGGUCUAACACAUCAUCAGAGUGACGGUACCGAGAGAAGAAGCCCAGGCUAACUCCGUGCCAGCAGCCGCGGUAAUACGGGGGGGGCAAGCGUUGUUCGGAAUUACUGGGCGUAAAGUGUGCGCAGGCGGCCGAGCAUGUCGAGUGUGAAAGCCCCGGGCUUAACCUGGGAACUGCGCUCGAAACUACUUGGCUGGAGUGUGGCAGAGGAAGGUGGAAUUCCACGUGUAGCGGUGAAAUGCGUAGAGAUGUGGAGGAACACCGAUGGCGAAGGCAGCCUUCUGGGCCAACACUGACGCUCACGCACGAAAGCGUGGGGAGCAAA
rnacentral:rRNA from 1 species